rnacentral:rRNA from 1 species
UACGUAGGGACCAAGCGUUGUUCGGAUUUACUGGGCGUAAAGGGCGCGUAGGCGGCGCGGUAAGUCACUUGUGAAAUCUCUGAGCUUAACUCAGAACGGCCAAGUGAUACUGCAGUGCUUGAGUGUGGAAGGGGCAAUCGGAAUUCUUGGUGUAGCGGUGAAAUGCGUAGAUAUCAAGAGGAACACCUGAGGUGAAGACGGGUUGCUGGGCCAACACUGACGCUGAGGCGCGAAAGCCAGGGGAGCAAACAGG